GACGAACGCUGGCGGCGUGCUUAACACAUGCAAGUCGAACGGAAAGGCCCUGCUUUUGUGGGGUGCUCGAGUGGCGAACGGGUGAGUAACACGUGAGUAACCUGCCCUUGACUUUGGGAUAACUUCAGGAAACUGGGGCUAAUACCGGAUAGGAGCUCCUGCUGCAUGGUGGGGGUUGGAAAGUUUCGGCGGUUGGGGAUGGACUCGCGGCUUAUCAGCUUGUUGGUGGGGUAGUGGCUUACCAAGGCUUUGACGGGUAGCCGGCCUGAGAGGGUGACCGGCCACAUUGGGACUGAGAUACGGCCCAGACUCCUACGGGAGGCAGCAGUGGGGAAUAUUGCACAAUGGGCGGAAGCCUGAUGCAGCAACGCCGCGUGCGGGAUGACGGCCUUCGGGUUGUAAACCGCUUUCGCCUGUGACGAAGCGUGAGUGACGGUAAUGGGUAAAGAAGCACCGGCUAACUACGUGCCAGCAGCCGCGGUGAUACGUAGGGUGCGAGCGUUGUCCGGAUUUAUUGGGCGUAAAGGGCUCGUAGGUGGUUGAUCGCGUCGGAAGUGUAAUCUUGGGGCUUAACCCUGAGCGUGCUUUCGAUACGGGUUGACUUGAGGAAGGUAGGGGAGAAUGGAAUUCCUGGUGGAGCGGUGGAAUGCGCAGAUAUCAGGAGGAACACCAGUGGCGAAGGCGGUUCUCUGGGCCUUUCCUGACGCUGAGGAGCGAAAGCGUGGGGAGCGAACAGGCUUAGAUACCCUGGUAGUCCACGCUGUAAACGGUGGGUACUAGGUGUGGGGUCCAUUCCACGGGUUCCGUGCCGUAGCUAACGCUUUAAGUACCCCGCCUGGGGAGUACGGCCGCAAGGCUAAAACUCAAAGGAAUUGACGGGGCCCCGCACAAGCGGCGGAGCAUGCGGAUUAAUUCGAUGCAACGCGUAGAACCUUACCUGGGUUUGACAUGGAUCGGGAGUGCUCAGAGAUGGGUGUGCCUCUUUUGGGGUCGGUUCACAGGUGGUGCAUGGCUGUCGUCAGCUCGUGUCGUGAGAUGUUGGGUUAAGUCCCGCAACGAGCGCAACCCUUGUUCACUGUUGCCAGCACGUUAUGGUGGGGACUCAGUGGAGACCGCCGGGGUCAACUCGGAGGAAGGUGGGGAUGACGUCAAGUCAUCAUGCCCCUUAUGUCCAGGGCUUCACGCAUGCUACAAUGGCUGGUACAGAGAGUGGCGAGCCUGUGAGGGUGAGCGAAUCUCGGAAAGCCGGUCUCAGUUCGGAUUGGGGUCAGCAACUCGACCUCAUGAAGUCGGAGUCGCUAGUAAUCGCAGAUCAGCAACGCCGCGGUGAAUACGUUCCCGGG
rnacentral:rRNA from 1 species